rnacentral:rRNA from 1 species
UACGUAGGGUGCAAGCGUUGUCCGGAAUCAUUGGGCGUAAAGCGCGCGUAGGUGGCUUCGUAAGUCCGUUGUGAAAGUCAAAGGCUCAACCUUUGAAUGCCGAUGGAUACUGCGGAGCUAGAGUACGGAAGAGGCGAGUGGAAUUCCUGGUGUAGCGGUGGAAUGCGCAGAUAUCGGGAGGAACACCGGUGGCGAAGGCGGUUCUCUGGGCCUGUACUGACGCUGAGGAGCGAAAGCGUGGGGAGCGAACAGG